rnacentral:rRNA from 1 species
AUGGACGAGCGGAUGAAGCUGGUUGUUUAGGCAGCAUCACUUAUAGUGAUUCAGGCCUGCGUUAUGUUGGUCCACAAGAGAGCUGUUUGUCAGAGUGAUAAGCCUGCCAUCUGUUAUGGUCCAUUAUUAAUCCAAGAUAGGGAGAGGAUGGCGAAUAUGAACUACAUCUACAACUACAAUGACAUAGAGGCUAUGAACAUGUUUCAAAUGCUAAGAGCACCUUUUGCAAAGCUUGUGGAGACAUUUAGGAACAGGGGACUGGUACAAGAUAGCAUCCACACCUCCGUGGAAGACCAAGUUGCCAUGUUCCUCCAUGUUGUAGGUCAUAAUCAGAGAUUCAGAGUGAUUCACAACUCGUUCAGGAGAUCAAUGGAUACCUUUUCUAGGUAUUUCAAGCAAGACUUGUAUGCUACUGGGACGCUCAGAGGAGAGUUGAUCACGACACCAACUAGGAAAACCCCUACAAGAUUCAUGAGCGCAAGAUGCUAUCCGUAUUUCAAGGAGAGCACUACUCACACAUCAUGCCAUAACAUGCAUGUAAUGUUGUCAUAG